rnacentral:lncRNA from 1 species
AGUAUACAAGUUUAUUGCAAUAAACGGAGCCUCGUGUAUCUUGUGGGCACCCAGCUGUGAAACAAAUUCAUCUCCCAUGCUAUUGAGACUACCUGUCUUUACAGGUAAAAUAUUUGUAUAUUAGAUACAAUUAACGGACCUGUAGCAAAACAAUGUACCUAACUUUAAGAUGGAUAAGAUUAAUCACAUUUGCAUUUUCGCCGCAUAAUUACAAUUUAUUAACG